GGAGACAGCACAGCGGCUUUGACCGGACAGUCACCGCUCGGAUUUGAAAGGCACGCCGCCAGCGCGGGGUCAGGAGCGCCUCGGGAGCCCGCGCGUAACCGAGAGUCGGUGAAACGAUUUGGCCCCACAAAGCAGAUGUCUUGACUUCACAGCGACGUUUUAUUUUGACCCCAACGAAGAUCUCCAGGGAUCGGGGACCCAGGUUUCCCAGCCGGGCGGCUGUCAUAGGCCACCUUCCCGAUCACACCAGCAGAGGGGGAAGUGACCACAGCAGGGCUGGAGCCAGGGCUUCCAGAUGUUGUCCCACGCGUCCAGCUGCAGCGGAACCAGGCUGAGCGUCCGGCGGUGGUCCUCCACGGCCUUGGCGACCGUCUCCAUCACCCGAUGGAACGAGGGCUCCGUGUCCGGCGUGAGGGCGUGGGCCUCGGAAGGGUCCCUCGAGAGGUCGAACAGCAACGGCGGGUCGUGCAGGCUCACCCUGUCCCCAGAACACGGGCAGACCCCUCUGCCGUAGCAGGCGCCGGCUCCGUCCGGGUGGAACACCGGGGUCACGUAGUGCACUUUCCACACGGCCCCUCCUGGAGGAAGGACGAGAAUUGAGCAGGGUUGGCGUGGAGAAUCAGGACGCAUUUCUGGAGAGCAGGGUGAGUCACAGUUGCUGGGGCUGGAAACAGUGCACGUGUCCACCGAGUGAUGGAUGGAUACACAGCAUGGGGUCCGUGCACGCACUGGAACAGGACGCAGCCAGGAGCAGGAGGGAGGCUCUGACACAGGCCACCACGUGGACGGGCCUUGAGCACACGAUGCUCCGCGAGAGAGGCAGACACAGGAGGACACACAGGGUGUGAUUCCAUUGAUGGGAGACGUCCAGAACAGACACAUCCAACAGACUCAGAAAACAACCGGACACGUGCAGAGAAUGCUUUUGGGGCGUGAAGGGCAAAGAGUGAGUUGAAUCGCAAGGGGGCUGUCGACCUUCCCAAACACCGGAAGAAUACCAAGUCCUUCAGGCACGUCCAGAAAAAGGGAGAAAAUGUCAGGGCAAGGCAGAGUAACAGGGAAACAGAAGUGAAGAAAAGAGAAGAAUGGGACGUCCCUGGUGGCGCAGGGGUUAAGAAUCUGCCUGCCCAUGCAGGGGACACGGGUUCCAGCCCUGGUCUGGGAAGAUCCCACAUGCCACGGAGCCACUAAGCCUGUGUGCCACAACUAGUGAGCCCACGAGCCACAGCUACUAAAGCCCACGCACCUAGAGCCCCUGCUCCACAACAAGAGAAGCCACCGCAAUGAGAAGCCCGUACACCGCAACAAAGUGUAGCCCCAACUCGCCACAACCAGAGAAAGCCCAUACGCAGCAACAAAGACCCAACGCAGCCAAUAAACAAAUUAAAAAAAAAAAAAAAGAAUAGCUUAAAAAAAAUAAAAAGAGAAGAGAAGAAGCUCAAACAGGUAAAAGUCUGUUAUCACAGACCAAACCACAGACCAAGGCAGACGCAGAACUCAAGCAGUUAUAAAAUUGAGCAAUGUGGUUGUUACGUAAAUCCACGAGCUGGGUUUUAGAAAAUGAUUUAUAGUAACAGAAAACCUCAGGCACCUCCAGUCGGGCAAUGAAGGAGAAUUCAGCUAUAAAUAGGGAGGCAAUUAAAAUACAAGGAACUGACUAGGUAACAGAAGAAAGUGCCUGGUGAAAUGAAUAUGUUUUUUUAAAUGGAGCUUUAAUUUUUUAUUUUUGGGGCCACACCACUCCGCAUGUGGGAUCUUAGUUCCCCGACCAGGGAUUGAACCCUCACCCAAGCUGCACUGGGAGCGUGGAGUCCUAACUACUAGACCGCCAGGGACGUCCCUGAAAUGAAUACUUUUUAAAUAAAAAGUGGAGAGACAUCACAGGCUUCAGUGUUUGGGAAAACUCAAUAUUGUAAAGAUACCACUUCCCCCUCUGCUCAGGUUCAUUCAUACAUUGAAGACAACGGCCAUUGGUAUCCCCGUGGGAUUUAAAAAAAAUACUUGCAAAUGAUUUUAGAGUUCUUUUCAAAGGACCGUUGGGCAAAAACAACUCAGAAAAGUUUGAGAGGCAAAAAUUAUCCAGUCAGUGUAUUACUGCUCGUUUUACAAAGUUACCAUUAUUAUAACAAAUAUGAGAUGGUCUCAUUAAGACACGUGGAAACCAAAUGUAGAUGAAGAGAACAGAUUCGAAAGCAAGAAAAAGAGGAAUCAUGAAACGUCCCUACCACGCGACCUCCAAAGGAAUCUCUUGUGAUCAACUGUCAGCAAACUCACUGAAAUGACACUGUCCUUAUAAUCAAAUAGCUUCAGUUAAGGCUCAGGAGAAGAGAAGGACACUUUGUGCACAAAAUGAAGCAGACAUUGGAUCCCAGCAGAUGAGGCGUGUUUUUCCAGACACUGAUCUCACGGGUAUUUUAUGCCAAGCGAGAGGGACAGUGACGUCUGACACCCGUGUGGGCCCCACGCAAGACGGCACUGCCUCCUUUGGGCUGCUCGGUACCUGUCCUGGGGC